rnacentral:snRNA from 1 species
AUCGCUUCUCGGCCUUUUGGCUAAGAUCAAGUGUAGUACAAAUCACUUAAAAUCCAGCUAUUUAACAUAGUGUUCUAUUUCCU